GUGCAUACCUCAAAGUGGAAACAGGAUUUUCUACUUCUGUGCAACUUCUAACCAAGAAAUGAAGAGGUGGCUGGAGGCUAUGGAAAAAGCAGUGCAUCCUGUCCAUCAGAACCACGUGUGGGUAGAUGUCACGCUGCAUAAUACUGCAUUGCCACCCUUAGCCAUCAAAAACCCAGAGUGCCUGGGGCUCCUCCACCAG